rnacentral:rRNA from 1 species
GGGUUGUGAGGUUAAGCGACUAAGCGUACACGGUGGAUGCCCUGGCAGUCAGAGGCGAUGAAGGACGUGCUAAUCUGCGAUAAGCGUCGGUGAGGUGAUAUGAACCGUUAUAACCGGCGAUUUCCGAAUGGGGAAACCCAGUGUGUUUCGACACACUAUCAUUAACUGAAUCCAUAGGUUAAUGAGGCGAACCGGGGGAACUGAAACAUCUAAGUACCCCGAGGAAAAGAAAUCAACCGAGAUUCCCCCAGUAGCGGCGAGCGAACGGGGAGGAGCCCAGAGCCUGAAUCAGUGUGUGUGUUAGUGGAAGCGUCUGGAAAGGCGUGCGAUACAGGGUGACAGCCCCGUACACAAAAAUGCACAUAUUGUGAGCUCGAUGAGUAGGGCGGGACACGUGGUAUCCUGUCUGAAUAUGGGGGGACCAUCCUCCAAGGCUAAAUACUCCUGACUGACCGAUAGUGAACCAGUACCGUGAGGGAAAGGCGAAAAGAACCCCGGCGAGGGGAGUGAAAAAGAACCUGAAACCGUGUACGUACAAGCAGUGGGAGCCUCUUAAUGGGGUGACUGCGUACCUUUUGUAUAAUGGGUCAGCGACUUAUAUUCUGUAGCAAGGUUAACCGAAUAGGGGAGCCGAAGGGAAACCGAGUCUUAACUGGGCGUUAAGUUGCAGGGUAUAGACCCGAAACCCGGUGAUCUAGCCAUGGGCAGGUUGAAGGUUGGGUAACACUAACUGGAGGACCGAACCGACUAAUGUUGAAAAAUUAGCGGAUGACUUGUGGCUGGGGGUGAAAGGCCAAUCAAACCGGGAGAUAGCUGGUUCUCCCCGAAAGCUAUUUAGGUAGCGCCUCGUGAAUUCAUCUCCGGGGGUAGAGCACUGUUUCGGCAAGGGGGUCAUCCCGACUUACCAACCCGAUGCAAACUGCGAAUACCGGAGAAUGUUAUCACGGGAGACACACGGCGGGUGCUAACGUCCGUCGUGAAGAGGGAAACAACCCAGACCGCCAGCUAAGGUCCCAAAGUCAUGGUUAAGUGGGAAACGAUGUGGGAAGGCCCAGACAGCCAGGAUGUUGGCUUAGAAGCAGCCAUCAUUUAAAGAAAGCGUAAUAGCUCACUGGUCGAGUCGGCCUGCGCGGAAGAUGUAACGGGGCUAAACCAUGCACCGAAGCUGCGGCAGCGACACUAUGUGUUGUUGGGUAGGGGAGCGUUCUGUAAGCCUGUGAAGGUGGCCUGUGAGGGUUGCUGGAGGUAUCAGAAGUGCGAAUGCUGACAUAAGUAACGAUAAAGCGGGUGAAAAGCCCGCUCGCCGGAAGACCAAGGGUUCCUGUCCAACGUUAAUCGGGGCAGGGUGAGUCGACCCCUAAGGCGAGGCCGAAAGGCGUAGUCGAUGGGAAACAGGUUAAUAUUCCUGUACUUGGUGUUACUGCGAAGGGGGGACGGAGAAGGCUAUGUUGGCCGGGCGACGGUUGUCCCGGUUUAAGCGUGUAGGCUGGUUUUCCAGGCAAAUCCGGAAAACCAAGGCUGAGGCGUGAUGACGAGGCACUACGGUGCUGAAGCGACAAAUGCCCUGCUUCCAGGA